UAAUUGAGGUCUGGUAUGAAUGGUUGGAUGAAAAAUUUACUUUCUUUAUUUUAAAAAAAUAAAUUGAUUUCUUAGUUAAAAAGCUGAGAUAUUAUUAAAGGACGAGAAGACCCUAUAGAACUUUAUUUAUCCUAUGAUAGUUUUUUUAUUGAAAAUAAUCUAAGGUUAUUUUAGGUUUAAAUUUUGUUGGGGUGACAGAAAAAAUAUAAUAACUUUUUCUUUUUUAUUCAUUUAUUUAUGAAAUUUUGAUCCUUUAUUAUGGAAAUAAGAUUAAGUUACCUUAGGGAUAACAGCGUUAUUAUUUUAGAGAGUUCAUAUCGAUAAAAUAGUUUGCGACCUCGAUGUUGGAUUAAAAUUAGUGUCAGAGGUAGAAUGCUGAUUACUAAGUCUGUUCGACUUUUA
rnacentral:rRNA from 1 species